AACGAACGCUGGCGGCAGGCCUAAAACAUGCAAGUCGAACGAUCUAGCAAUAGAUAGUGGCGCACGGGUGCGUAACGCGUGGGAAUAUGCCCUUCACUACGGAACAACGUCGGGAAACUGACGCUAAUACCGUAUAAUGACUCCGGUCCAAAGAUUUAUCGGGGAAGGAUUAGCCCGCGUCUGAUUAGGUAGUUGGUGAGGUAAUGGCUCACCAAGCCGACGAACAGGAGUUGGUCUGGGAGGAAGGUCAGCCAAACGGGGAACGAGAAACGGCCCAGAAUCCGAAGGGAGGCAGGAGUUAGGAAUAUUGGAAAAAGGGGGAAACCCUGAUCCAGCCAUGCCGCGUGUGUGAAGAAGGCCUUAGGGUUGUAAAACACUUUCGGCUGUGAAGAUAAUGACAGUAGCAGAAGAAGAAGCUCCGGCUAAAUUCGUGCCAGCAGCCGCGGUAA
rnacentral:rRNA from 1 species